AUUUUUUAAUAAUAAGAUUUUGAAUAAGGGUGAGAAAUUAGUUGAUAAGGUU
rnacentral:tRNA from 1 species